rnacentral:rRNA from 1 species
GUAGGUGGCAAGCGUUGUCCGGAAUUAUUGGGCGUAAAGCGCGCGCAGGCGGUUCUUUAAGUCUGAUGUGAAAGCCCAAGGCUCAACCGUGGAGGGUCAUUGGAAACUGGAGAACUUGAGUACAGAAGAGGAAAGCGGAAUUCCACGUGUAGCGGUGAAAUGCGUAGAGAUGUGGAGGAACACCAGUGGCGAAGGCGGCUUUCUGGUCUGUAACUGACGCUGAGGCGCGAAAGCGUGGGGAGCAAACAGGGAUUAGAUACCCUGGUAGUCCACGCCGUAAACGAUGAGUGCUAAGUGUUAGGGGGUUUCCGCCCCCUUAGUGCUGCAGCUAACGCAUUAAGCACUCCGCCUGGGGAGUACGGCCGCAAGGCUG